GGAAAGCGUCUGGAGGGAAGCAAAAAUAGUAGAGGUGCGUUGAAGAAUCUUCUAUUAGUUCCUGUUGCCUAGAUCUUUGGGGCAGCUGUUUCACAGCACAGCCUGUCUCCAGUCAGCUCUGCUGUGUACGGGGCGAUCAUGAGGGACUCUGCUCACAUCGCUCCGUGACCGGAAUGCUCAUCUGAAUGACAUAACACACUGUAGGAUGGCCCACACAUCUGGGUUUGAAAGACAUUGGACAGGAUCGAAAAGAAAUUGAGUGGCAAGCAGGAAAGAUUCCUCCCUCCACAAGCCAGAGGCUCAGCUCUUCCCACACUCCCCCUUGCUCCUGGAGCUCUAGCCAUGCCAGCCUUCUUUCAGUUCCUCCUGCUGAUUCCUCCCUCAGGACUCUUGCACAUACUCCUUUGGCUUAUAAUGUACUUUCCUCCUUUUCUUCCCGGUUCACUCUUACUCAUCCUUCAGCUCUUGGCUCAGCGUCGCUUGUUCAGAGAAGCCUUCCGUGCCCACUCAGUCACCAGAACAAGGUUCACUCGGGUGAUAGCGUGUCCUUCUCAUCCACAGCACUAAACACAAUGACAAUUCCUUAUUGUUGUAGGCUUGUUUAAACUUAAUGUCUGUCUCCCCUACUCACCUGUAAACUUCAUGAGAGCUGGGACCAUGUCUUUGUCACCUGCAUCGCCAGAGCCUGGCACGGAGUUGAAGAAGGAUAAAUGUGUCUUGAACGAACUGUUGAGCCCACCUGCAGCGGGAGAACACGGCUGGGCUCUUGGUGCUCUGUCCGCUCACACUCAGAUCCCCUCACCGUUGUCCGCACACCAGCACAGGUGUGCAGCUCCAGGUGUACUGUCACCCAGCCGCACCUGCAUCUCACCGUCAGAGGACUGCUCUCACUUUGCCCAUGUGCGCCAAGAGCUUGUAGUGCCCAGGAAUUUAUGUUCCCUUUAGAAGAAGCCCUUAACCAAUUAGUGAUGGGUAUGGGCUUAUAAACUCACCAGCUCUCUUGUCUUGAUGGGACAUCCGUGAGGGGUCACCUGUACUGUCCUCAAGCUCCCCUGUGGCGCUGAGCCACACUGACCCUCCAUGGGAUGGGUGGUGAUACUGCACUCCUCUCGGCCUCUUGUGGUUCCCAGCCCCUCCCACACUCCUUGACGGUGUUCCCGGAGAUCUCCUCCUAACAAGUCACUUUACACAAAUCCUCAUCUCGGGGUCUGCUUCUGGGGAACCCAACCUAAAACAGAGAGCCUUCUGCUGGAAAGGUCCUCGCUGAGCUGUGAUUAAUAUUGUAAAUUUUAGUGCUGAAAGCACUCAAACCAGGGAGACCAUUUGCUGGUUCAGACAAGGAUGGGUCCUGCCAAUAUCUCUCUAACCAGCAAGGGAGAGUCAUGUCUAUAAAGGAGGGAGAACUAAACUCUCCACGUUCGAACCUUCACCCCAUGACCCUGUGCACCACGGGAAAGAGGUCAGGAGGCUGUGCUCUAGCAUCCCAACCAAACUGGCCGUGGGAGCCUGUUGGCAAGAUUGCCUUGAGGGUAAGCCAAGAUCCUCUCUACCUGCUCCUUCUCCAAGAUUUCCCCUGAGGCCAGGGUGGGGCAGGACUGGUUUAUGGGUGGGGAGGGGGGCCCCUCUGGCUAGAGGAUCUUAGGAGGAUGAGGUGUAGGCUGGUAAGGUCAGUGUAGUAAGGAUGCCUUCAGCUUUAGGGAGCAGAAUUCCCAAUUGAAAGAGGGUUAAAUAAUAGGGGCAUAUUUAUUGAGGAAUUUUCCAUAAAGAAAAGUAACAGUGUUAUAAGACAGAAAAAUCAGGGGAAACUUACAUAGAUGGG
ensembl:lncRNA